UCUCUCUCUCUCUUUCACCUACAUCUACAGACACCACAUCAAGUGACUGAAGUGCUGAUCAAAGGGGAGAGCCUGGCUGAAGAGCAACCAGACAGCCUGUGCAAAGAUCCAGUGUGUGCCCCUGGUCCACCAUCCGGCAGUUUGGAAUGGCACCAACAGCAAAGGAUACAAAAAUGGACACUUUUAGAGCACCAGAAUUAAUACCACUACAACCAUUGGCAUAAGCAGACCACAGAGGAGGAGCUGAUGAUCAGCACAGGCACAAACUCUGCCUCCAGGAAUGGCUAAGCAAAGAGUGCUGCAGCCUCCAUUAUUAACACGACAUGCAUUGUCACCUGCAAUUAAAAAGAAAAAGUAAUCUUAAAACAUAAUUGCUCAAAAUCCAUGCAGUAACUAGAGAGCAUGUAGAAAAUGAACUGCGAUCUGCUUUUACGUACAAGGAAACAUGUUAUUGUGGGAGUUUUUCUGCUGUUAUUGUCUAUACCUGCAGGUUAUGCAACAAAAAUUAUAUCAUCAGUUCAUAAAUGUUAUCUCUCACUCUUUAAUAAAUAUUAGCAUUUUUACAGGACACAGAUGCAUGAGUUCAAAAAUUAAAGUGAACUUCAUUAUUUUUAAAUAGACAAUAACAUAAAAUGAAAAAAUCUCAACUAUAUUGGCAGCUGAGACCCAAGUGAAAAAUGUGACUACAAUGACAGACUAGGUUAUUAUAACCCAGGCCUGAGAGGCUGGAAGUGUUAUGUGGAGAAUAAUGAGGAAAAUGCAUAAUAUAAAAUCAUUCUAUCAGCAAUAAAUAUUUAACUCAAAUGCACAAAUUAUCAGUGUAAUCUGGCACUCAGACUGACUGACCUAGAGUAGACUAGGAUCCUUUUCAUCAUUCUCAAAUCUAAAUUUAAUUUGGCAUGCUUACAAAAGCUUAGAAAUGAAAGAAAGUGAAAGCUAGACAGGCCAAUGAGUCUGCAUAAACUCUUUAACACCACUUAACUUCUGAACUCAGUGGCAAUCAAGCUUGGUUCAUAUUGUUCCCUCCAACCAGGACUGCCACCUUUAAAAAAGGAGUUUCCAGCUAUGGCUAUGGUUUUCCUGCUAUUACUGCAUGAUCCCAGUUCCAAAUAUGUAAUACUUUAUAGUACUGUUUGGCUUUUUAUCAAAGCGACAGUUCACCAUUUUCAUGUGCCAAAAUUAAUUACACCUUUAGUUAUAUAUAAAGAGCUCUGUUUGAAACCUGAAAAACUAAAGAAAUAGAAAAGUCAAUAAAUUCAUAAUGGAGAAUAAAUAAGAAAAGGAAAUGCUGAAAUAUAUCAGGAUAUACUUUUCAGUGUUGUGAAUGGGAGUUAAGCACUCGCUUAUUCUAAUGUGAGUUAUGCUCAUAAUUUGCUACUGCCUAUGAAUUUUAAAUUCUGAAGAACAAAUUACUAUUAUACCAGAAUUUUAUGCCUUUGUCAUAUGAAAAAGUAGAAACUGACAAGUUACUUUCUGUCCUGUCAUGAGGUGACAUUAAAUAGAAAAUCAUUAUAAUAAUUUCAUAAGCUUAGUUAGAAUUAGACUGAAACACAUCUAGUCUUGGUCCUAUAUUCCUCAUGCACUCAGAAUAGACAGUAAGAUCGAUGUGGGUGUUUGAGGAAUGAAAAAAAAAAUCAGAUUCCACUUUAUUUAUUUAUUUUAAGGUAUGUAGAGUAUUAAGACAAGGGGAAAUUUUGCCUGCGGGUUUUUAUCAUCUGCCAAUGCUUGCUGCAUCCCCUCUAACCACCAUCUCAACUCUCCGACAUACUCUGCUACCAGGGUCUGAUUCAAAGCCAUUGAAGCCCAUCUUAAGUACUUCAGUAGGCUUUGAGUCAGACCCUAAUUACUUAGUCAUGCACUGCCAUUGUCAUUUGACUGCUGCUCCUCAAGUGAGGCUAGGUUUCAGAUGCUGCUGGUAAUGAACCAUGGUUAGGCAGACCAUAACCAAGUCUGUACAAAUCUUGUAACGGAUUUCCAAAUCUUCCACUCCUUGAGUCCACUAUUAGCAAAAUUCCACUAAAUAAGGGUACAUUCAGUGACUGCUAAAUAGACUAAAUAGUAUUUAACAAGGUGUGAAAUGUUCAACAGUGGUUUUCCAAAAAAUGUUGUAUCUGAUACAGACAAUGAAAAAAUAAUAAAAUGCAGA